ACGCAACGUAGUUCCCCACCACAGCAGCAGCGGAUUAAUAUCCAAAACGUGAACAGGUUAGUGUCUGCUCAGCAGGUGGAUGAACAUGUAAUGGAGUUGCAGCAUCAGUCGCUGACCAAGGAAUUACUGGGGAAGUUGGUGGUAGAGGGAGGCUAUUGACAUGUCACAGCAAGAUGCUCAAAAAUGUAGAGCACAUGGAGAAGAUUGCCAUGCUGGCUUUCCAUCCAGUUAAGAUGCACAGCUGCUAUGAGAAGGUGGUGAACCUGAGCCUUGAGGGUCUUGCAGCAACAGUUUGACGUGAGCAGCCCGUCAGUGUUUGUCCAAAGGGCCCAGAUCCCCAUGAGAGAGAUGUUUGAGCAGAUACUUCAUCAGAGUCUCGAGUCUCAGGGUACAGAGGAGCUGUGUAAGAUCAUCCAGCACUGCCAGGACAGAGUCAUUAAGCACAUGGAGAAGAUUGCCAUGCUGGCUUUCCAUCCAGUUAAGAUGCACAGCUGCUAUGAGAAGGUGGUGAACCUGAGCCUUGAGGGUCUUGCAGCAACAGUUUGACGUGAGCAGCCCGUCAGUGUUUGUCCAAAGGGCCCAGAUCCCCAUGAGAGAGAUGUUUGAGCAGAUCCUUCAUCAGAGUCUCGAGUCUCAGGGUACAGAGGAGCUGUGUAAGAUCAUCCAGCACUGCCAGGACAGAGUCAUUAAGGUAAUACACAAAGAAAACAGGCUUGUGCAUCAAAUUCUUGCAUAACAUCUACAUUAAUAUCUAAUAAUAUUACAUCUGGCAUACUCCAGCCCUGGGAGUGAAACUUUUGGUCUGGCCUUGUUUUAGUGUUAAUGAAAAUUCAGGUUCACCUUUAUCAAUUUAUUAAUUUUUUAACAAAGAGUCCAGGAUACCGGGCAAUAUCCCAGCUUAAUCCCUUCUGUGCAUGGUCCUCUGAUAUUUUCAAGCCUCAACUUGCCAGCUCCAUGUUUAUUUUUAUUAUAUCAGAAAGUAUGAGUGUGUGGAUGAGCUAACUCAUGCUUUUGAAGCAUGAUGAUGGUCGCCACAGCGGUCGUCUUCCAGAUAGAGAUUAGAUAGAAAAUAAAAACUCCAAACUCAAGGAAUAAACACUUGACUUUUGCGAGAACAGGUGAACGUCACAUAGUGUACCCUGAGACAUUAUUGCUCUGGACCAUAAUCAUCAAUUGGACUGAUAAGAGAUUGCCGGCAUCUUGUGAAAUGUGCCAGUACACAAAUAAAAGUGCCGGUUCUGUGUACUGGACAGUACCGGGCCACUUCUAGUUAAUAAUUGUACUGU